rnacentral:rRNA from 1 species
CCUACGGGAGGCAGCAGUGAGGAAUAUUGGUCAAUGGGCGCGAGCCUGAACCAGCCAAGUCGCGUGAGGGAAGACGGUCCUAUGGAUUGUCAACCUCUUUUGUCGGGGAGCAAAAGACGCCACGCGUGGCGUUACGAGAGUACCCGAAGAAAAAGCAUCGGCUAACUCCGUGCCAGCAGCCGCGGUAAUACGGAGGAUGCGAGCGUUAUCCGGAUUUAUUGGGUUUAAAGGGUGCGCAGGCGGAAGAUCAAGUCAGCGGUAAAAUUGAGAGGCUCAACCUCUUCGAGCCGUUGAAACUGGUUUUCUUGAGUGAGCGAGAAGUAUGCGGAAUGCGUGGUGUAGCGGUGAAAUGCAUAGAUAUCACGCAGAACUCCGAUUGCGAAGGCAGCAUACCGGCGCUCAACUGACGCUCAUGCACGAAAGUGUGGGUAUCGAACAGGAUUAGAUACCCUAGUAGUC